GACACAACUGUGUGUAUUUGUCAAAACUCAUAGAACUCUACAUUCUAAAAAGGAUGACUAUCACUGUGUCAACUUAUACCUUAAUAAACCUGGCCAAAAAACAAUUUAUUUUGUUCACGAUUUUGCAGCUGUUGUGAUCCAGGGAUGCCAGCUUAAGAUUUCUACCACAGGUCAGGUGCAGUGGCUCACACCUGUAAUCCAAGCACUUUGGGAGGCCGAGGAUGGUCUCGAUCUCCUGACCUCGUGAUCUGCCCACCUCGGCCUCCCAAAAUGCUAGGAUUACAGGCAUGAGCCACCACGCCCAGCCAGGCUUAGUUCUUUCUAAAUCAAGAUAGCAGUGAGUACUGCAUGAGAGAAGCAGUAGCAAAUGGAAAAGCAAUUACCUGGUUACUACUCAGUUAACUCCAGAGAAAACUGGAGAAAACUGAUCAGGGUGAAGAACCUGGAACAUGUAGGUCAGAUAUUCUGCUUAGUUUACAUUAAUUAGAAAAGCACCAAGAGAGGCUGGGUGCAGUGGCUCACACCUGUAAUUCCAGCGCUUUGGGAAGCUGAAGUGGGUAGAUCACUUGAGGUCAGGAGUUCGAGACCAGCCUGGUCAAUGUGGUGAAACCUCGUCUCUAUUAAAAACACAAAAAACUAGCUGGGCGAGGUGGCGGGCGCCUGUAGUCCCAGAUACUUGGGAGGUUGAGGCAGGAGAAUGGCGUAAACCUGGGAGGUGGAGCUUGCAGUGAGCUGAGAAAGCGGCCACUGCACUCCAGCCCGGGCGACACAGCGAGACUCCGUCUCAAAAAAAACAAAAAAACCCCACAAAAAUUAGCUGGGCAUAGUGGUGGCGCCUGUAGUCCCAGCUACUCAGGAGGCUGAGGCAAGAGAAUCACUUGAACCAGCAGGCAGAGGUUGCAGUGACCCGAGAUUGUACCAUUGCACUCCAGCCUGGGUGACAAAGCAAGACUCUGUCUCAAAAAAAAAAAAAAAAAAAAAAGCACCAAGAGGAUAAUCAUUAAUUAUCCUAGAGUUUUACAAAUUCCAAUAUAACUUAAAAUUUGUAAC
rnacentral:lncRNA from 1 species